UACGUAGGUGGCAAGCGUUGUCCGGAUUUACUGGGUGUAAAGGGCGUGUAGCCGGGCUGACAAGUCAGAUGUGAAAUUCCGGGGCUCAACCCCGGACCUGCAUUUGAAACUGUUGGUCUUGAGUAUCGGAGAGGCAGGCGGAAUUCCUAGUGUAGCGGUGAAAUGCGUAGAUAUUAGGAGGAACACCAGUGGCGAAGGCGGCCUGCUGGACGACAACUGACGGUGAGGCGCGUAAGCGUGGGGAGCAAACAGG
rnacentral:rRNA from 1 species